GAUGAAGAACGUAGCGAAAUGCGAUACGUAAUGUGAAUUGCAGAAUUCAGUGAAUCAUCGAAUCUUUGAACGCAAAUUGCGCUCUCUGGUAUUCCGGAGAGCAUGCUUGUUUGAGUAUCAGUAAACACCUCAACUUCCAUAUCUUUUUUGAAAUGGGAGUUGGACUUGAGUGAUCCCAACGCUUUUCCUCACCGAAAAGUGGCGGGUUACUUGAAAUGCAGGUGCAGCUGGACUUUUCUCUGAGCUAUAAGCAUAUCUAUUUAGUCUGCCUAAAAAACAGAUUAUUACCUUUGCUGCAGCUAACAUAAAGGAGAUUAGUUCUUGUGCUGACUGAUGCAGGAUUCACAAAGACAGGCUUCGGCCGACUUUGUAAACUCGAUCUCAAAUCAAGUAAGACUACCCGCUGAACUUAAGCAUAUCAAUAAGCGGAGGA
rnacentral:misc_RNA from 1 species